CAGUCGCCGCGGUAAUACGUAGGUCCCGAGCGUUGUCCGGAUUUAUUGGGCGUAAAGCGAGCGCAGGCGGUUAGAUAAGUCUGAAGUUAAAGGCUGUGGCCUAACCAUAGUACGCUUUGGAAACUGUUUAACUUGAGUGCAAGAGGGGAGAGUGGAAUUCCAUGUGUAGCGGUGAAAUGCGUAGAUAUAUGGAGGAACACCGGUGGCGAAAGCGGCUCUCUGGCUUGUAACUGACGCUGAGGCUCGAAAGCGUGGGGAGCAAACAGGAUUAGAUACCCGCGUAGUCCCUGUCUCUUAUACA
rnacentral:rRNA from 1 species